GACGAACGCUGGCGGCGUGCCUAAUACAUGCAAGUUGAGCGCUGAAGGUUGGUACUUGUACCAACUGGAUGAGCAGCGAACGGGUGAGUAACGCGUGGGGAAUCUGCCUUUGAGCGGGGGACAACAUUUGGAAACGAAUGCUAAUACCGCAUAAAAACUUUAAACACAAGUUUUAAGUUUGAAAGAUGCAAUUGCAUCACUCAAAGAUGAUCCCGCGUUGUAUUAGCUAGUUGGUGAGGUAAAGGCUCACCAAGGCGAUGAUACAUAGCCGACCUGAGAGGGUGAUCAGCCACAUUGGGACUGAGACACGGCCCAAACUCCUACGGGAGGCAGCAGGAGGGAAUCUUCGGCAAUGGACGAAAGUCUGACCGAGCAACGCCGCGGGAGUGAAGAAGGUUUUCGGAUCGUAAAACUCUGUUGGUAGAGAAGAACGUUGGUGAGAGUGGAAAGCUCAUCAAGUGACGGUAACUACCCAGAAAGGGACGGCUAACUACGUG
rnacentral:rRNA from 1 species